rnacentral:pre_miRNA from 1 species
UAUUUCCUGUUUCACCUAACCUCUUUUAGGCUAUGUCUGAAUAUUAAAUUUUUAUGCAAAAAUCCAAUUGAUGGAACACAGACAAAGCCUAGUAGAGGCUAGAUUCAUACCAAGAAU